AAAGCAGAACGGACACAUUUUGCUCAACGCGGUGCGGAUUAGAUUGAACUACUUCGAAAAGCACUGGAAAGUGCGAGUUCGUGUAAAAGCAGUAACAGAAACACUUCAAUACGCAGUUACGGCGGACAGGUCAAUCUCGACAAGCAAAGAGCAAUAUCGAGCAAACAACGUGGUGGCACUGUCUUUCCCCGUACUCACGAUAGCACGACGCACACGGACUUGCAUUUGAAGAACCAAUUUGUUCACUGGAUCAGGACUCUGCAUGAGAGACCACGUCACGAACCCGUGUUGGUCAAUAAUCACGUAUCUAGAUUAGACAGAAGCGAAGGG